AACUCCCAGGAUUGUGUCUGGGGAAUGGCUAAUAUUCUGCCAGCUUCGGAGAUGGGAAGGGAAGCAAGCCUGGUAGAGGUACCCAUUCCAAUCCCCUCUUGCUCCAUAGAUGGUAAUUGGAACACACUCUGUAAUAACA